CACUAUAGGUGUCAACUGGGCGGGCUGACCAUGGGCUAGCCCAGUCCAAUUCAUUUUGGGUGGGCUAUGGACGUGCCCAAUUAAUAAAUGGUCCAACUGGACAAAAGACCAAUUGAUAUAUGGUCCAAUUGGACGAAGACCAAAUGGACAAUGGGUGUCCAUGGGCUUCAUAAAACAUAAUUUCAUGAGUUUAAUAAAAGAAAACAUAACUUUACAAUUUAACCCAAAAAAAACAGUUUUAUCGUUAAAAUAAAAAAUUAACGAUUUUGACGGAAAACGUAAUUUUACAAUUUUGACGGAAAAAUGAAUUUCAUAAAACAGCGGGAAAAUUUAAUUUUUCAGUUUUGGCGGAAAAACACAAUUUCUCGGUUUUGGCGGGAAAACGCAAUUUCUCAGAUUUUGGCGGGAAAACAUAAUUUCUCGGUUUUAGCGGAAAAAUUCAAUUUUUCGGUUUUAGCGGGAAAACACAAUUUCUCGGUUUUGGCGGGAAAACACAAUUUCUCAGAUUUUGACGGGAAAAUACAAUUUCUCGGUUUUGGCGGGAAAACACAAUUUCUCGAUUUCUCGGUUUUUGCGAAAAAAUGAAUUUUUUCGAUUUUGAGAGGAAAACAUAGUUUUACAGUUUCGACAAAAAAAAUUACUUUUAUAAUAUUAGAAAGUAAACAUAAUUUCAAAAUUUUAGAAAUAAAAUUUAAACUAAUAAUUAAAAAAUAAUUAUAAAUAUUAUUGGGUGUCCAUGGACAUGCCCAUUUGGACAUAGUCUCUAUUGGUCUUGGACAUUUGUUGGACCAUUGUCCAAUAUGGACCACCCAUUACUGUCCAAAACUGAAAUGGUCCAAAUGGUCAUGCCCAAUUGGGCCAUGGACGGACCAUUUGACAGCUCUAUUAUGCACCCAGAUAGUAGAUAGGAAUUUCGAUCUUUGAAUAAAACUCUUCAUUUAACUAUCAUCACUCAUUUCCGAUAGAUAUAUUUGUUGUUGUUAACUGUUUUAGGUGUGGGAGAAUCUUCGAUUAAAAAAACCCCAUUUCCCCAAAAACUAAUGUUUUUUAGAAGAGAAAAAAACUAAUCUUGAUAAUGGUAUAUGUAUGCCUGUAUAACUUAUGUGGACCUUCACGGCCACUCUUCUCAAAGAAACCAGCUAGUAGACGUUUUUCUCGAAAGUUGAAACUAGCUCUUACCUUGCAUUAUCUUCCAUAGUAAUCAGGACUAGCAUAAUCGAAAACAAGAUAAUAUGUAUGGAUGAUUAAAUUUCAAUACUUUGUCAAAAAAUGAUGAUUAAAAUUCAAUCCAAACAAUAUCCUACUUAAGCCAGUCUACAUAGAUCAAUAAUUUGGUCUGGUAACUAUCAGUAUCACAAAAUUUCAAUUCAAGACCAGUUAAUAUUGGUUUGAUUCAAUUUUUGUCAUGGUACAUUACAAUUCAUGCCUUAUAUCCCUUACUUUGAGUGAAUUAUAGAGAGAUGUAUGGAGGGGAAUGAAAUCCCAUGAGCUCAUUCAUAUGUUCAAACUCAAGAGUUGUGGGCAUGUGUGUCCACAUACCGUUGAUUAAGUACCAUUUAUUUGUCAUCUCAAAUUGAUAAUAGGAGGAGGAUAUCAUGACAUGAUUCAUAGACGAAUGAAAAG